ACCUCUUUCUGCUUCAUGUAGAAUAAUCAGGUUUCUAAAAGCAUCGCUUUUAUAGAUUCUUUAAGUUUCUUUAAGCCGUCCAACUUUCCCAAAGAGAUCCAACAUACAAGGGUUCAAUCUUUUUCCUUGAAGAACUAUGAGGCAGGCUCUCCACCAUUUGCACAAGGAGAAGCAGCAGCAUUGGAUCAAGGUUGCAUCUUUCAUGCAAAAGAAUGAUUCACCUUCUUUGCGAUGUCAACCAUUGGAUCACGCAAUAUCCACUUCGAGAUAUAUGCAGGCAGAUGGAAGAUC
rnacentral:lncRNA from 1 species